CCUACGGGUGGCAGCAGUGGGGAAUAUUGGUCAAUGGGGGCAACCCUGAUCCAGCGACGCCGCGUGCGUGAUGAAGUAUCUCGGUAUGUAAAGCUCUAUCAGCAGGGAAGAAAAUGACGGUACCUGACUAAGAAGCUCUGGCUAACUACGUGCCAGCAGCCGCGGUAAUACGUAGGGGGCAAGCGUUAUACGGAUUUACUGGGUGUAAAGGGAGCGUAGACGGUGCAGCAAGUCUGAUGUGAAAGGUCGGGGCCCAACCGCGGGACUGCAUUGGAAACUGUUGGACUGGAGUACAGGAGAGGUAAGCGGAAUUGCUAGUGUAGCGGUGAAAUGCGUAGAUAUCAGGAAGAACACCAAUGGCGAAGGCAGCUUACUGGACUGUAACUGACGUUGAGGCUCGAAAGCGUGGGGAGCAAACAGGAUUAGAUACCCGAGUAGUC
rnacentral:rRNA from 1 species